rnacentral:tRNA from 4 species
CGGAGCGUAGUUCAUCAGUAGAACGCAUGGUUCGGGACCAUGAGGCAGGAGGUGCGACUCCUCUCGCUCCGA